rnacentral:rRNA from 1 species
AUUGAACGCUGGCGGCAUGCCUAACACAUGCAAGUCGAACGAGUGGCGGACGGGUGAGUAAUGUCUGGGAAACUGCCCGAUGGAGGGGGAUAACUACUGGAAACGGUAGCUAAUACCGCAUACCAUCGGAUGUGCCCAGAUGGGAUUAGCUAGCAGGUGGGGUAACGGCUCACCUUGGCGACGAUCCCUAGCUGGUCUGAGAGGAUGACCAGCCACACGGGAACUGAGACACGGUCCAGACUCCUACGGGAGGCAGCAGUGGGGAAUAUUGCACAAUGGACGCAAGCCUGAUGCAGCCAUGCCGCGUGUAUGAAGAAGGCCUUCGGGUUGUAAAGUGCUUUCAGCGAGGAGGCGUUACUCGCAGAGGAAGCAACGGCUAACUCCGUGCCAGCAGCCGCGGUAAUAC